rnacentral:rRNA from 1 species
UACGUAGGCAGCAAGCGUUGUUCGGAAUUACUGGGCGUAAAGAGUGCGUAGGUGGUUGGUCAAGUUUGGUGUGAAAUCUCCCGGCUCAACUGGGAGGGUGCGCCGAAAACUGGCUGGCUAGAGUGUGGGAUAGGGAAGCGGAAUUCCUGGUGUAGCGGUGAAAUGCGUAGAUAUCAGGAGGAACGCCUGCGGUGUAGACGGCUUCCUGGACCAUGACUGACACUGAGGCACGAAAGCGUGGGUAGCAAACAGG